ensembl:snRNA U7 U7 small nuclear RNA
GAAAAUUAGCUCUUUGAGAGUUUCUCCAGUAGGUUUCCUGAAAAGAGAAACCCUC